rnacentral:tRNA from 1 species
GGAGAGAUGGCCGAGUGGUUGAAGGCGCAGUCCUGGAAAGACUGUUUAUCGGUGACGGUAACAAGGGUUCGAAUCCCUUUCUCUCCG